CCAACUUUGGCGAACUCAUCGUCAGAGUGCCCCCCACCCCCAUCGCGCCCCCCCAGCUGCUCCGUGCCGGCCCCACGUACCUCAUCAUCCAGCUCAACACCAACUCCAUCGUGGGCGACGGGCCCGUGAUCCGGCGCGAGAUCGAGUACCGGGCCAGCCACUCGCCCUGGACCGAGACGCACAGCGUCAGCUCGCUCACCUACAAGGUGUGGCACCUGGAGCCCGACACCGAGUACCGCAUCAGCGUGCUGCUCACCCGGCCCGGCGAGGGGGGGACCGGACCGCCUGGGCCGGCGCUCAUCAGCAGGACCAAAUGUGCCGAGCCCAUGCGUGCAUUGCGGGGCCUGACGGCCACAGACAUCCAGCCGCGGAAGCUGUCCCUGCUGUGGGAGCCUCUGGGCUACAACCUGACGCGCUGCCACACCUACACGCUCUCCCUGUGCUACCGCUACUCCGCGCCCGUAGGGGUCGCCGGCUCCAGCUCCAGCGCCGGAGCCGUCGGCGUCAGCGGCAGCAGCGGCGGGGUCGCAGGAGGGGCCGGGAGCGGCGGCAGUGGGAGCAACAUCACGGUGAGCGAGUGUCAGCCGCUGGACAGGAACACGUCGCACCACACGCUGCGGGAGCUGCCGCCGUUCCGCGCCGUGCACGUCCAUCUGGUGCUGGCCAACCCCGAAGGCAAGAAGGACGGCCGGGAGGUCACCUUCCAGACAGAGGAGGACAGUGAGUGAACACACACACACACACACACACACACACACACACACACACACA
ensembl:lncRNA